rfam:Triticum aestivum genome assembly, contig: Triticum_aestivum_CS42_TGACv1_scaffold_556623_7AL
AAACUACUCCCUCCGUUCCAAAUUUUUUUUGUCUUAUAUUAGUCUAGAUACGGAUGUAUCUAAUACUAAAACGUGACUUGAUACAUCCAUAUUUAAAAGAAAUAUCUAAGACAAGAAUUUUGGGGCAGAGGGAGUAUUAU